rnacentral:rRNA from 1 species
ACGCUCGACACCUACAGGAGGCAGCAGUGGGGAAUAUUGCACAAUGGGGGAAACCCUGAUGCAGCGACGCCGCGUGAGCGAAGAAGUAUUUCGGUAUGUAAAGCUCUAUCAGCAGGGAAGAAAAUGACGGUACCUGACUAAGAAGCCCCGGCUAACUACGUGGCAGCAGCCGCGGUAAUCUGAGCGGGCUGGCAAGGCG